rnacentral:rRNA from 1 species
UGGGGAAUAUUGGACAAUGGGCGCAAGCCUGAUCCAGCCAUGCCGCGUGAGUGAUGAAGGCCUUAGGGUUGUAAAGCUCUUUCGACGGGGAAGAUAAUGACGGUACCCGUAGAAGAAGCCCCGGCUAACUUCGUGCCAGCAGCCGCGGUAAUACGAAGGGGGCUAGCGUUGCUCGGAUUUACUGGGCGUAAAGCGCACGUAGGCGGGUCGUUAAGUCGGGGGUGAAAUCCCGGAGCUCAACUCCGGAACUGCCUUCGAUACUGGCGAUCUCGAGUCCGGGAGAGGUGAGUGGAAUUCCGAGCGUAGAGGUGAAAUUCGUAGAUAUUCGGAAGAACACCAGUGGCGAAGGCGGCUCACUGGCCCGGUACUGACGCUGAGGUGCGAAAGCGUGGGGAGCAAACAG